UAGUUUAUUAUUCCACUGAGAUGCACUUCUCCCUUGCCCCAUAUAUUCCUUUGUGGCCAAUUAUUUGCAUUUCUUUGUGUAAUUAUUCUAUUUUUUACUGUUACCAGAAAUUUAGCAUUGAAAUAUGCUAAGGUAGCAAUUUUGGUAAGCCGUCAAAGCAGCUCCAGGUUUUACUUUGCUAUUGGCCUCUUGCUUGACCUUGAAUAUUUCAUUUGUUGGGACUGCAGGUCAAGCUACAUGAUGGGUUAUAGUGAGUUUCUGACGAGCUGAAGUUCACCAUCAAAUUAGGAAAUAAUUCUAGACAAGGUAGUGGUUGCUGGGGCAGGAGAUUGCAAGGGAGCAGCUGGAUAGUCGAGAGUCAUUGUAGCCUCACUUAUGGAUGGCUAGCUAGGUUAGCCCAUUUCCGGUUCCGCCUAUCCACUAUACACCAUUUUUUUUAAAAGAAACUUUCAAUGUAGUAUAGGAUACAAUGACUUAGCUACAUUUCAGUCGGUACCAAAAUAAAAAGGCAAGUGUUUGUCAGA